rnacentral:rRNA from 1 species
GUGAGUCAUCGAAUCUUUGAACGCAUCUUGCGCUCCUUGGUAUUCCGAGGAGCAUGCCUGUUUGAGUGUCAUCAAGUUUUCAACCGCACCAGGUUUAUUCCUGGUGUGGCUUGGAUUUGGGGGGGUUUUUUGCAGGCUUCCAAGUCGGCUCCCCUGAAAAGCAUUAGUGGUAUCUGAGCAGAAAGACCACCUUGAGCAUGAUAAAUAACUAUGCCACUGGUGUGUGUCUGAUGCAAGCUGCUUUCCAACCCUUGCGCAUUUGACAAAUUUGACCUCAAAUCAGGUAGGACUACCCGCUGAACUUAAGCAUAUCAAUAAGCGGAGG